GACGAACGCUGGCGGCGUGCUUAACACAUGCAAGUCGAGCGGUAAGGCCCUUUCGGGGGUACACGAGCGGCGAACGGGUGAGUAACACGUGGGUGACCUGCCCUCAGCUCUGGGAUAAGCCUGGGAAACUGGGUCUAAUACUGGAUAUGACUCCACGGUGCAUGUCGUGGGGUGGAAAGCCUUGUGCGGCUGAGGAUGGGCCCGCGGCCUAUCAGCCUUGUUGGUGGGGUGANGGCCUACCAAGGCGACGACGGGUAGCCGGCCUGAGAGGGCGACCGGCCACACUGGGACUGAGACACGGCCCAGACUCCUACGGGAGGCAGCAGUGGGGAAUCUUGCGCAAUGGGCGAAAGCCUGACGCAGCGACGCCGCGUGAGGGAUGACGGCCU
rnacentral:rRNA from 1 species